GCCCGGAUGGCGGAACUGGUAGACGCGCAUGGUUCAGGACCAUGUUCUCGCAAGAGAGUGCAGGUUCAAUUCCUGUUCCGGGCA
rnacentral:tRNA from 2 species